GUGCUCACUUUGGAAGCACAUACACUAAAAUUGGAAUGAUACAGAGAAGAUUAUAAUGGCUCCUGUGCAAGGAUGAUAUGCAAAUUUGUGAAGCAUUCCACAUUCUU